GCACAAGCGGUGGAUGAUGUGGUUUAAUUCGAUGCAACGCGAAAACCUUACCCACCUUUGACAUGGCAGGAAUCCUAAAGAGAUUUGGGAGUGCUCGAAAGAGAACCUGCACACAGGUGCUGCAUGGCUGUCGUCAGCUCGUGUCGUGAGAUGUUGGGUUAAGUCCCGCAACGAGCGCAACCCUUGCCAUUAGUUGCUACGAAAGGGCACUCUAAUGGGACUGCCGGUGACAAACCGGAGGAAGGUGGGGAUGACGUCAAGUCCUCAUGGCCCUUAUAGGUGGGGCUACACACGUCAUACAAUGGUUGGUACAACGAGUUGCGAGUCGGUGACGGCGAGCUAAUCUCUUAAAGCCAAUCUCAGUUCGGAUUGUAGGCUGCAACUCGCCUACAUGAAGUCGGAAUCGCUAGUAAUCGCGGAUCAGCACGCCGCGGUGAAUACGUUCCCGGGCCUU
rnacentral:rRNA from 1 species